rnacentral:rRNA from 1 species
UACGAGGGGGGCGAGCGUUGUUCGGAAUUAUUGGGCGUAAAGGGUGCGUAGGCGGUUUGGUAAGUCUGAUGUGAAAUCUAUGGGCUCAACUCAUAGUCUGCAUCGGAAACUGCCGGGCUUGAGUGUGGGAGAGGUGAGUGGAAUUCCUGGUGUAGCGGUGAAAUGCGUAGAUAUCAGGAGGAACACCUGGUGGCGAAAGCGGCUCACUGGACCAUAACUGACGCUGAUGCACGAAAGCUAAGGGGAGAAACAGG